rnacentral:rRNA from 1 species
CCUACGGGAGGCAGCAGUGAGGAAUAUUGGUCAAUGGACGAGAGUCUGAACCAGCCAAGUAGCGUGAAGGAUGACUGCCCUAUGGGUUGUAAACUUCUUUUAUAAAGGAAUAAAACGAGGCACGUGUGCCUUUUUGCAUGUACUUUAUGAAUAAGGAUCGGCUAACUCCGUGCCAGCCGCCGCGGUAAUACGGAGGAUCCGAGCGUUAACCGGAUUUAUUGGGUUUAAAGGGAGCGUAGAUGGGUUGUUAAGUCAGUUGUGAAAGUUUUCGGCUUAACCGUAAAAUUGCAAUUGAUACUGGCAGUCUUGAGUACAGUUGAGGUAGGCGGAAUUCGUUGUGUAGCGGUGAAAUGCUUAGAUAUCACGAAGAACCCCGAUUGCGAAGGCAGCUUACUAAACUGUGACUGACAUUGAUGCGCGAAAGUGUGGGUAUCAAACAGGAUUAGAUACCCUGGUAGUC